GGUAUCUGAUAAAUAGAGCUAAUAUGGACUUGUGUGCUAUACCAGGCCCAGUACCAUUCGAGCUUAAUCCUUGUAGUUUGAGGGCCAUCCAAAAUUACAUGCACAAAGGCGACAAGUAACCUGCAUUUGGUUGGGUGUUUUUAUGUUUGUUUUUCCUUGUAAUCGUACGGAGCUAAAUCAGAAAUCUAAAAGUCAGUCAUCAGAUAGUUACUGAGCUCCAACUGUAUGCCAGGUACUUUUACAGAAAUGUUAGCAAUUAAAUCCAAGUUGUAAUGACUUAGAUAAGGCCUUCAAGGCUUGCCAUAGUCACACGGCAACCUUAAUAUCUUAAGUUUUCCACAUAGCAAUCAAGAUUCUACUGAAAAGCUGUUGGAGUGUGGGAUAAUCACAUAACCACUGAAACCACCAACUUCAGGAUAGUGUUUAAUGUCUGCCCCAGUAUCUGCAUAACGGUGCAGUAAUGAAGGCCAAAAGGAGAAACUAUUUGGAGGACUAAAGACAACUGCUUUCUCAUUUCAUGAAAAUGAUUAUGCAGAAACCCUGGCAGGAGAGAGCAGAUGAUUGCAAAUUUAUUCCCACUCCUAGAAAAAAUAUUCCUGAGUGGAUGCAUAACAGCUCCAGCUUUGCUUCGAAGACUAAUGAACAAUGUAUCAACACAAAUGGGUAUGUUCGUCUGGCCUCAGAUGUGGCUUUCAAAUAGAGCAGCAGAGUCCUUUCUGGGAGUACCUGGGAUUGAAUCAUGGAGAAGACAAACAGCCAGAAGAGAAUUUGAGGAAAAAUUAUGCACUCUCGAAGAAAUAUGGAAUGGUGAACAGUCUUCUGACAAAAAAAGCCAAAAGAAUCAGAUCGCAGUUCCUUCUCAGAUAUUAUUAGAUUCAAUACUAUUUAAUGUUAUAUGUUAA
rnacentral:lncRNA from 1 species